rnacentral:lncRNA from 1 species
AUCUGGAAUUAAGCUCAACUAUUUAGACUUCUCGACCAGUAGGCCAAGUGCCAAGUGGUAUUUAGAAUGUCCAGAUAAGUUUGCCACUUCUCUACGCUUGUGCAGUGGUCAGGUAAGGGCCACUAAUUGCAUUACCUUCACCGUCUGCAUGUAUGUAUGUCUGUUUCCCUUCUAUGGUUCUACUCAUUGGGCCUAUGUGGUCAGGUAAGGGCCACUAUAUGAAACUUUACCUUGUUAGGCCUAGUAUAAUCUAGGUAGGGUCGACCUAAGCCACGUUUCCCAUUUUUCUAUGGUUGUAUUUUUAUUAUAGUGGUCUCGUGUAUGUAUGUCUUUUUCCCUUCUAUGGUUCUACCCAUUGGGCCUAUGUGGUCAGGUAAGGACCACCAAAAUUAUUGAAACUUUACCUAGUAAUCUAGGUAGGGUCGACCUAACCACUUUUCUCAUUUGUCUAUGGUUGUAUCUUUUCAUUAUAGUGGUCAGGUAAGGACCACAUUUUCCCUCGUUUCACCACAAUACUGGUCAGUAAUUUGACCUAAGCCACGUUUCUCAUUUUUCUAUGGUUGUAUCUUUCAUUAUAGUGGUCAGGUAAGGACCACAUUGUCCCUCGUUUCACCACAAUACUGGUCAGUAAUUUGACCUUAGCCACGUUUCUUAUUUUUCUAUGGUUGUAUCUUUCAUUAUAGUCGUCAGGUAAGGACCACAUUUUCCCUCGUUUCACCACUCUACCGGUCACUAAUUUGACCAAGAAAUCACUGUGUAUUAUACUGACUUAACCUAGCUCCGCUAGGUGGACAUGUUUUCUCUUUUUAUAAGUCCAUUUUCAGCCACUUGUAGGUAAAUUAUGACGACAUGCAAGCCCGAGUGUUGCUCUCAGAUGCGGAGGAACCGGAAGCAGGGAGGAGGAACAACGGAUGCCGGAGGACCCUGCUUGCCGGGCGACCCAUUACUGCUUUCUUGAGAUGAGGGUCUACAAGCUGAGAUGUCAUUCUAAUAUCGAUUCCGAAUCCCAAGGAACCGGAAGCAGGGAGGAGGACCGACGGAAGGACUGAUGACCUGCUUGCAGAGCAAGUCUUCACCAAUUCUUAAGAUUCCUCUUGCCUCGCGUAAGCAGCAGAAACAGUGGCAAUACACAUUAUGGAGUGCAGUUGUUCAAUAUGCGCUGAUGAUCUAUGGAGUAUUAUAUACUUGGUUGCCACUGUAAUUUGGAGCCGGAUCGGGAAUCUCCCCGUGUUUUUUUUUCCCAAAAAGGAUUUUUGGCGGGGUUUUCGCCCAUCCCGUAAUCAGGAAUUCGUGCCUUAUACUGAAAUGCUUAAAAUUAUAUUUUAGUUGAUUUUAAAACGUUUGUCAUACCCCGGGUAAAUAAAUGUAAUAAAUAAAUAAAUAAAUACAUAACUUUAAAUAGAGGAUCGGAAAUGGAAUCAUCAGAUUUUCCAAUAAUGGUUUUCAGUAGUAAAAAACAACAACCUCAAAUGAGAAUUUGUUUCUGAAAAAUUAUUUUCAGCCCGUCCCAAGUCCAUAUUAGUGGGUUUCAAAUAAUUCUUGUUCGUACAUUUAGUCACUCGACAUUUUAUUUUGUUUCCUUCUUAAUGCCAUAAUUGAUACACAUGUAUAAUGUUUAUUUUUUGGCAAUUUUGCAGAUUAAACCUGAGUGAAUAAGAACUUAUUGU